rnacentral:rRNA from 1 species
UGGGGAAUAUUGGACAAUGGGCGCAAGCCUGAUCCAGCAAUGCCGCGUGUGUGAAGAAGGCCUGCGGGUUGUAAAGCACUUUCAGUGGGGAGAAAGAAGCUGUUCCUAAUAUGAACGGCGGAUGAUGUUACCCACAGAAGAAGCACCGGCUAACUCUGUGCCAGCAGCCGCGGUAAUACAGAGGGUGCAAGCGUUAAUCGGAAUUACUGGGCGUAAAGGGUGCGUAGGUGGUUACGUAAGUUAGAUGUGAAAGUCCUGGGCUUAACCUGGGGACGGCGUCUAAUACUGCGAAGCUAGAGUACUGUAGAGGAAAGUGGAAUUUCCGGUGUAGCAGUGAAAUGCGUAGAUAUCGGAAGGAACAUCAGUGGCGAAGGCGACUUUCUGGACAGAUACUGACACUGAGGCACGAAAGCGUGGGGAGCAAACAG